UACGUAGGCAGCAAGCGUUGUUCGGAAUUACUGGGCGUAAAGGGCGCGUAGGCGGCUCGUUUAGUCGGGUGUGAAAUCCCGGGGCUCAACCCCGGAACUGCAUUCGAUACUGGCGGGCUAGAGACCGGAAGAGGUGGGUGGAAUACCCAGUGUAGAGGUGAAAUUCGUAGAUAUUGGGUGGAACACCGGUGGCGAAGGCGGCUCACUGGUCCGGUUCUGACGCUGAGGCGCGAAAGCGUGGGGAGCAAACAGG
rnacentral:rRNA from 1 species